rnacentral:rRNA from 1 species
UACGUAGGGACCAAGCGUUGUUCGGAUUUACUGGCGUAAAGGGCGCGUAGGCGGCAAUUCAAGUCAUCUGUGAAAUCUCCGGGCUUAACUCGGAAUGGUCAGGUGAUACUGCUUGCUAGAGUGGCAGAAGGGGCAAUCGGAAUUCUUGGUGUAGCGGUGAAAUGCGUAGAUAUCAAGAGGAACACCUGAGGUGAAGAGGGUUGCUGGGCUGACACUGACGCUGAGGCGCGAAAGCUAGGGGAGCAAACGGGAUUAGAUAC